CUUCCCCAUCUGCUCGUCGCGUCCCGUGCUUGCCAUCCCCCUAGUGUCCUGCAUCGGCCGAACCCUGUGAGCCUCCCCAGCGGCGCUGCGCUCGUCUUCCCCAUCUGCUCGUCGCGUCCCGUGCUUGCCAUCCCCCUAGUGUCCUGCGUCGGCCGAACCCUGUGAGCCUCCCCACUUCCCCAGCGGCGCUCUGCUCGUGGCCGCCCUCCUCGCUCGCCCCUGUGACUGCUGCUACCUCUGCCUCUGUUGUUGCUGCUUUUCCCCACCUGCUGCUGCUACUGCUACCCGCGCGCCGCUGCGCUCACCUGCUCGCCCGACAGCACCCGUGCAUGCGCUCGUGCCACCCGCAUCCACCCCUUGCCACGCACUCGCGUGCCCAAGCCCCGCCAUGCGUCUGCCUCCAGCUCCCACCGCGACCACCGCCUCUCCCCAUCACGACCACCACUGCUCCCCAUCACGCCGCUCUGGCACGCGCGGGGCCUCACCCUCCCCGUCGACGGCCGCUACGGCUGAGAGCCGAGCCGAUCCAGCCGUGUGGUGUUUGUGCGUCGCCGGUGUGCAAUGUGUGUGUUGAUGGCUGCAGCCACUGCCUUGUGGGGCCGACCUAGCUUAAUUAUGGGGCUAAUCCCCACUAACAGCCCUACAUAGAAUGACGAGAGGGGCCUAGCC
rnacentral:lncRNA from 1 species